ensembl:lncRNA
AUCAAUGGAAGAUAAAUGACCCAGUUCAUUGAAAAUCCAGCUGGAGAUGGAGUACUAGAUGAGUUGCUUUAGGAAGAAAAUGGCUGAUUGAGGAUGUUUUUGUAAUGUGCUUUCUGUGCCACACUUUGAUUCUUACAGAAUGGGUAAACCGUGAACACGCAGGAUUCCCCAUGUGUCAAAUCAAAGUCAAUUAAACAGGAGAGGAUUUCUCCCAAGUAUGACUUUGGCUGUAGCCCAAAUGUCUGUUGGAUUAGUUGAGAACCACGGUGCCAAGGACAUCUGGCACUUUUGGCAGGAGAAUUCCACAAGAACAUUGGUGAUGUCGGAUGAGGAGGUCUGGUACACAGUCGGCGUUCCAGUUCAUUCCCAAGAGGUUUAGUGCAGUUAAUGUCAGGCCUCUGUGCAGGCUAUUGAAGUUCUUCCACUUCAACCUUGGAAAACCUUGUCUUCAUGGACCUCACUUUGUACUCAUGGGAAAGUGUAAUGCUACAGCAUACAAAGACAUUCUAGACAAUUGUGUGCUUCCAACUUUGUG